rnacentral:miRNA from 1 species
GCCCGGUUGGUAGCUGUUGUUUCCACCUCGGGCAAAGAUGACGCUC